GGAGAGAUGGCUGAGUGGUCGAAAGCACCGGUCUUGAAAACCGGCGACGGUUAGUAGCCGUCCUAGGGUUCGAAUCCCUAUCUCUCCG
rnacentral:tRNA from 1 species